rnacentral:tRNA from 1 species
GGCCUCGUAGCUCAGUUGACUAGAGCUCAGUUUCUGGCGUGGGUUCGAAUCCCACCUAGGUCC